GAUGAACGCUAGCUACAGGCUUAACACAUGCAAGUCGCGGGGCAGCAUGGGGGUUGCUUGCAAUCCCUGAUGGCGACCGGCGCACGGGUGAGUAACGCGUAUCCAACCUGCCCUUCACCACGGGAUAACCCGGCGAAAGUCGGACUAAUACCGUAUGUUGUCCAUUGACGGCAUCCGAUUUGGACGAAAGGCUUAGCGGUGAGGGAUGGGGAUGCGUCCGAUUAGCUCGACGGCGGGGUAACGGCCCACCGUGGCAACGAUCGGUAGGGGUUCUGAGAGGAAGGUCCCCCACACUGGAACUGAGACACGGUCCAGACUCCUACGGGAGGCAGCAGUGAGGAAUAUUGGUCAAUGGGCGGAAGCCUGAACCAGCCAAGUAGCGUGCAGGAUGACGGCCCUAUGGGUUGUAAACUGCUUUUAUGCGGGGAUAAAGGGGCCCACGUGUGGGCUUUUGCAGGUACCGCAUGAAUAAGGACCGGCUAAUUCCGUGCCAGCAGCCGCGGUAAUACGGAAGGUCCGGGCGUUAUCCGGAUUUAUUGGGUUUAAAGGGAGCGUAGGCCGCCCCUUAAGCGUGUUGUGAAAUGCGGGUGCUCAACAUCCGACUUGCAGCGCGAACUGGGGGGCUUGAGUGCGCCGAAAGUAGGCGGAAUUCGUGGUGUAGCGGUGAAAUGCUUAGAUAUCACGAAGAACUCCGAUUGCGAAGGCAGCUUACUGUAGCGCAACUGACGCUGAUGCUCGAAAGCGUGGGUAUCGAACAGG
rnacentral:rRNA from 1 species